CAAAGUCAAACUCUCUGAAGCCCGUUUACAACAUUCAUCAACCUGAAGUCCAGAACAACAGAAAAAAGCUUUUUAUAAGGAGGCAAAAUGAUAGAAGUGAUUUUCAUCAGUCAACGCCGAAGAAUCAAGAGAAAUUGGAGAUGCGCCGUUGUUUCUUCACCUAUGGGGUCCAACUGACACUGGAAGCUGGAGACUCUGAUUUUCCAGCGAUGAGGAAUCAGUGGCCAAAUCAAUCCUGGAGAACGAUUGACAAGCAUAAGUGAAUGCGCGGAAGCUGCUGCUGCUGCUGCACGAGAAAGUUGAGGUAAGUGAUUGUCAAUUCGAUUUUUUUUAACUUUUUUUAUUUUUUUUUUUAAAUUUUGUGAUUUGAAUUUGUUAAAAGUGAAUUUAUACCCAAUUUCCUAUCGAUCCAUUCGAGAAACGAAACAAUGACGUUUUUUGUUGUUUAGAUAUAUUUUUUUGAAUUUGAAUUAAUACUUUAGUUGGUUGAUUGAAAUUGGGGGUGAAUACAUUUUUCUGGUUUAAUUUGA